rnacentral:rRNA from 1 species
AUUGAACGCUGGCGGCAUGCCUUACACAUGCAAGUCGAGCGAUGAAGUUUCCUUCGGGAAACGGAUUAGCGGCGGACGGGUGAGUAACACGUGGGUAACCUGCCUCAUAGAGUGGAAUAGCCUUUCGAAAGGAAGGUUAAUACCGCAUAAUGUCGAAAGAUGGCAUCAUCAUUCAACCAAAGGAGUAAUCCGCUAUGAGAUGGGCCCGCGGCGCAUUAGCUAGUUGGUGGGGUGACGGCCUACCAAGGCGACGAUGCGUAGCCGACCUGAGAGGGUGAUCGGCACCAGUGGGACUGAGAUACGGCCCAGACUCCUACGGGAGGGAGCAGUGGGGAAUAUUGCACAAUGGGGGAAACCCUGAUGCAGCAACGCCGCGUGAGUGAUGAAGGUUUUCGGAUCGUAAAGCUCUGUCUUUGGGGAAGAUAAUGACGGUACCCAAGGAGGAAGCCACGGCUAACUACGUGCCAGCCGCCGCUGUAAUAC